UCUUAUAGUGUACUAAAGCACGUGAGAUUUUCAAUCUUUCAGGGCAUUAAAAUUAUAAGAU
rnacentral:tRNA from 1 species